CUGAAGCAAGUCUUCAUUCUUACUGCAUACAUUUUUAAAUGCAGCAGUAAAGUUUUAUAAAUCGAAAUGACAUCAUUUAAUGAAAGGGAACUGAAUGUUUACAUGCAGCUGUUAUUAACUGGAAGGCAGUACAUAAACACUCGGGAAAAGAUAAAGGUUGGAGCCAUCAAAACAAGCAAACACCCUCGCAAAGUCGGGGCAGACUGAAGAGGAAGCCUGAAGAGGAUCUCAUAGGGACAGCAAAUAUCAAGAAGGUGUUUAUAAAGAAAAGAAAUACCUAGUUUGGAACUUAUCCACUUACAGUCUUACUGAAUGUGAGAACAAUGUGUUAAAAUUUCACCAACCAGCAUGUCUUUACUUGGCCGAAACCUGCACAGUCUGAAGAGCAGUCUAAUACCAACCACAAUCCGAGAUUUAUGAGAGAAAUCUAUGGGCAGUCAGAGGUACCACCAACUGCCUACCAGCAGAGGAGAGGGCGAGUUCAGUCGUUUGAGUGGCAUGAGAGACCGAGGGCGGAGUAUCGGGUACAGUCUGAAGAGACGACCAAAGCACUCAGGCAGGAAGAGGAAACAAUGAAUCAACAGCCAAGAGGGAGUGUCCUUUCACCAAAUGAAGCACAUUCUGUCUAGUCUACACCAAUGGAAAUGCCAUUGUCUUCGGCAACCAAUAAUAAGGCAAAAACUGCCUCCACAACUACAGUCAUGGUAAUAUGGAAGCAGGACAACAACAGGUUUUUCCUGUUCUACCCCUACCGUUUUGAGCAGGGAGAAGAAAAUCUGUGGAACAGGACAUCUACAGGGGUCAGAAGUGAAAAGAAG